CAGUCGCCGCGGUAACACGGAGGGUGCAAGCGUUAUCCGGAUUUAUUGGGUUUAAAGGGUCCGUAGGCGGACUUAUAAGUCAGUGGUGAAAGCCUGUCGCUUAACGAUAGAACUGCCAUUGAUACUGUAAGUCUUGAGUAUAUUUGAGGUAGCUGGAAUAAGUAGUGUAGCGGUGAAAUGCAUAGAUAUUACUUAGAACACCAAUUGCGAAGGCAGGUUACCAAGAUAUAACUGACGCUGAGGGACGAAAGCGUGGGUAGCGAACAGGAUUAGAUACCCGCGUAGUCCCUGUCUCUUAUAC
rnacentral:rRNA from 1 species